ACAGAACCCUGUAUGCUUCCGGGAGUGUGGAGUGUGUGUCUGAUCUGCUGCUGGGAAAAGGAGAAGAAAUGCUGAGACACUCACUGCCAGGGGCUGGUAUCAGGCCAUUUUCACAGGGGCUGUUGGAGGGUUGACAGCACAGCUCUACUGGACCAGGGAGGGUCCCAGCCAGCAGGGCCUGCCCCUCCGAAACUGUCCCUGUCCCUGUCCCUGAGAGGCCCCACUGAGUGUCAGAUGGCACAUAAGAGAUUUCCUUAUGCGUUGGUGUGAAGGAGAUGAUCAGUUCCAGGAGGCCCCUCCCCCAUGCAGAAGAGAAGAAAAUGGAAGAAACCGGGUUCUCAGAGUGGCCUGCGGAUGUGAAAUUCCCAGAGGUGUGAAACACAGCAGAUCCUUUACAGCACGAUGACAGGACACAGCAUGAGCCUACCUCUGCCAGAGAUGGGGUCUUGCUAUGUUG